CGUUGAAACAUCGGUUCCCGUACAAUCACCAAAGUUAAACAACGUCGAACCUAGUCAGUACCAAGAUGGGUGACCGCUGGGGAAUACCAGCUGCUAU
rnacentral:rRNA from 1 species